GGAUUUUGUUGCGAUGUAAUUGUUUGACAGCACUACUAGACAUUCUUAAACAUUUUACUUGAGAAGCAAAAACAUUUUAGCUUAAUAAAUGCAAAUUAAAUUCUAUUAUUUAUUUUUUGUAAGAAUUUAAUAAAAACGUUGGCCAGAGUUUUCAAUUUUACAAAGGUUUACUACAGUCGUUUUGCUUUCUUCAUGCUCUGUAUAAUAGCAAUCAUACGUGGUGCUGCUUCUCAAUGUCUUUACACAGAUAAAGAUGCAGAUUAAGAGAAUGAUUGUGUUUUUAACGCUAUAGUAGAUGAUCUUGAGUGCGUUCACAGCGGUCGUGGACAUUUAACACAAACUCUAGCCAGAGUGAAGGAUGCUGGGAUAUGAAGUGACGUCUGCUGGGAUUAUAGGAUGGAUGUUUGCCGGCAGGAUCUAGAAUCAUCUGUAGUUUCCCAGUUUUUCUGCUCUCUCUGGAUUCUUUGCACCUCUGCACUUUGGGUUUUGUUCUUCUUGUAAAGUCAUGCUGGAGCGGAUGCAGUUCAGUGUUUGUGCGUCAGGCGUCAGUGAUGAACAUGAAUCUCCUGCUGAUGUUCAGAGGGUGUGAGAGUCAACAGCCAAUCAGAAUCUGCUAUUCCGGCUCCUCCCUCUGCUAAAACCAGUUAAACUGCAGCAUCCACCUAUUAAACGCUCGCAGGAAGUGCUU
ensembl:processed_transcript